GCCCAGACCUCCUCCUCCUCCGCCUCAUCCUGACAGCGGCCGCCGCCGGCGGGAGGAGGAGGAGCGCCGCGCAGGCGCCCACGCAGCUGUUUGCAUCCUGUUCAUGUCAUGGCAAAACUCCCACACGUUUUGAUUCGGCCUGGAUCAGACUCGUGCAUCACCCCUGCUGCAAACAGAAGAACUGCCUCUGGCGAUAUUUAGAAGAACAUGAUACCCAAGAAGACUCAGCAAUCUUUGUGUAAACCAUGGACCAACUGAGGAGAUUCCAGAGGAUUUCAGAGGAUCACCAGAUCUUUGCAAAUCCUUCAGCUGAACAAGCUCACCCUUCUGAACUCUUUCAUCCAGCAGAUUUUCUUUGAUUAUUCAUCACACCUUUAAAAGUGUCAAAAAGCUUCUGACCUUCUUUGAAAAACAGCUGAAGACAAACAUCUGUUGUGAAAUGAAUGCUUCUUAACAGGCUUGAUACAUCAAGCAAAUUUCACUGGAGUUAUUCUUGCCUCACACCAAUGGUAAGAGGAAAGAGAAGCAUGUUUCAUGUUAUUUUGUGCCAGAUGUUUCGUUGGUAGAAAUCCAUAGCUCCACAGGCACCAAUUUCUUCAGAAUCUGGAAUGUCUGGCACAAUUUCUUCCUCCAUUCUGGACAGUCUGUGAAGGAAACUGCUUUGUUUUGCAAUAUUGAAUAUUCAUGCUGGGAAGUUAUAAGCAAAAGCAAAAUAAUGAGAGACAGGGUCUCUAAUAAGCUUCCUGUCACAUGAGGCUCUGGUUCUGUUGAAGCAGAUGUGGUUGCUGACUUGUUUCCAAAAUGUUUGUUGAGUGGUGAUUAGAUUCUGUCAUACUGAUGUUAUCUCUCUCUGAUCUCCUUCAAUACAAGUAGUUCUGCAAACAGUGAAAUCUUUUUUUCCUAUGGAUUUAUAUCUUGGAUUGUGUUUC